rnacentral:rRNA from 1 species
UUUAACUGAGCGUUCAGUUACUUGACGUAGACCCGAAACCGGGCGACCUACCCAUGAGCAGGAUGAAGCGAAAGUAAAAUUUCGUGGAGGUCCGAACCCACGAGCGUUGAAAAGCUCGGGGAUGACUUGUGGGUAGCGGUGAAAUUCCAAUCGAGCCCGGAGAUAGCUGGUUCUCCCCGAAAUAGCUUUAGGGCUAGCCUCAAGGUGAGAGAUACGGAGGUAGAGCACUGAAUGUCCUAGGGGGUAUUGCACCUACCGAAGACUAUCAAACUCCGAAUGCCGUCAUCUUAUACUUGGGAGUCAGACUGUGGGUGAUAAGAUUCAUAGUCGAAAGGGCAACAGCCCAGAUCGUCAGCUAAGGUCCCUAAAUGUAAGUUAAGUGGUAAAGGAUGUGGGAUUGCACAGACAACCAGGAUGUUGGCUUAGAAGCAGCCACUCAUUCAAAGAGUGCGUAAUAGCUCACUGGUCGAGUGAUCCUGCGCCGAAGAUUUCCGGGGCUAAAACUUACUACCGAAGCUACGGCAUCAGUAAUGAUGGGUAGGGGAGCUUCCCAUACGGGUUGAAGCAUGACCGUAAGGACAUGUGGACAGUAUGGGAGUGAGAAUGUUGGCAUGAGUAGCGAGAUGUGGGUGAGAAUCCCACAGGCCGUAAACCCAAGGUUUCCAGGGGAAGGUUCGUCCGCCCUGGGUUAGUCGGGACCUAAGCUGAGGCCGAAAGGCGUAGGUGAUGGACAACAGGUUGAUAUUCCUGUACUACCGAUAACCGUUUGAGAGAAGGGAUGACACAGUAGGAUAAGCUAAGCACACUGUUGGUUAUGUGUG